CCUACGGGCGGCAGCAGUGAGGAAUAUUGGUCAAUGGACGAGAGUCUGAACCAGCCAAGUAGCGUGAAGGAUGAAUGCCCUAUGGGUUGUAAACUUCUUUUAUCAAGGAAUAAAACGAGGCACGUGUGCCUUUUUGCGUGUACUUUAUGAAUAAGGAUCGGCUAACUCCGUGCCAGCAGCCGCGGUAAUACGGAGGAUCCGAGCGUUAUCCGGAUUUAUUGGGGUUAAAGGGAGCGUAGAUGGGCUGUUAAGGCAGUUGGUAAAGGUUACGGCGCAACCGGAAAAGUGCAAUUGAUACUGGCAGUCUUGAGUACAGUUGAGGUAGGCGGAAUUCGUGGUGUAGCGGUGAAAUGCUUAGAUAUCACGAAGAACCCCGAUUGCGAAGGCAGCUUACUAAACUGGGACUGACAUUGAUGCUCGAAAGUGUGGGUAUCAAACAGGAUUAGAUACCCUUGUAGUC
rnacentral:rRNA from 1 species